UGCCUCAAUAGCUUCCAGUCCAAGAAGGAUGAGGGACCCAUGGACCUGACAUGGACCCAACCUGCAGCUUGGCGCCCAGCCCAGCCAUGUCCAGCCUAGAUCAGCUGACUCUCAGCCAGCCCAUGGUGGAAUCACUGGUGAUAAGUGAUUAGAAGGCUAAGACUACCAAAUUAAGGUGUUUAAAUGUACUAGUAAGCGAUGUCUAUUAUCAAUCCUCAUCCCUGGAAAAGGGAAGAAGAAAACCUCUGAAUGAGUGAAAGAUGACAGGUCAAAGUUCAUUCUAAAGGACUCAAAGUGGAAUCAAUGACCCCAUCUUCCAGAAGAGGAGGCAAGUGGAGAAAACAAACUGACCAUUUUCUAGCAAUUCUUAGAGCCAUGGUACUUAUGAACC